AUGAUUAUCCUCCUCUGGAAGUUUUGCUUCUUGGGAAUUUCAUGGCCAAAGCAAAUCCAGAUCCCAGUGCACAGCCUGUCCAUCAAGACAGCUUUCAACAGCUCCCACAUCUGGAUGCUUCCUCAUUCACAACUGCAGAAGGAAGAAGAUAACUUUGAGCAGUUUCAGAACAGUCCUGAAAUUCAUUUUGAUUGGACAAGGUUAGUUCACAUAUCUAGUCCUGAAAGAUCACUCUGGCCAGGAUGUGGGGGAAGAACGGUAGGAUGAACCUGCUGGCGUAGCCUCAGUCAUGUGCUUCCUCAUUCUGCAGCUAGAGAUCAAAUCACCCUUCCUAGAACCAUGUGGAUCUAGAUCAAAACCAAAUAUAGCCAAACCCAAUACUUGUCAUAUUUUGACAAGAUAUUCAGUCUCUAAGUAACUCAAGACCAGUGCUGAAUCUACACAUAUUCUUUGUUGCCAUCUCAUAAUUUUGUGCAUUUUCAAUGCUAACUAUGGUUCCCAGAAUGAUUAGAAAUGAUAUCGCUAGGCAUAAAAGGCUUAUGUGAGCCCAGUAAAAGGCAUUAUCCCAGUAAAAUGUGAAACUUCUGGGGAACUUUCAAGAAUUAUCUUCAAUUACAUUAAUUCAUAUGGGAAAAUAGGGUUUGGUACUCAAUGAUUUUGACACUCAUAACUAGUUCUGGAAGGAAUUAAUGACAAGGACCAAGAUAUGACUAUAGAAGCUUUUUAGAUGGGGCAACUGUGAUAAACUUCAAGGCAACUGUAAUAUAUCUUAAUAUCCACUAGAUACAGGAAACUUAGAACCACUAGACUUUCUUUGACCCAGUACCCUUAACAUUCAUUGUCUGAUACUCUUCUUACAGAUUUGAGGGGUCCAGUUUAAUUGUCCAGAUUAGUCAUUAUUUCCAUGAGAACAGAUCCACAUUAUAAGAUUUUUAGCCGCUAGAAUUAGAUAGAAUAUCAAUAAUGUGAAGAUCGUGAAGGUCAAAGUUCAAAUAUUGGUAAUAAUAUUUCAAAGAUGGAUGCACUUAGUUUAAAUACAACUUUUGGUAUCUGAGGCAGAAUAGAAGUGAAAGAUAGAGUCUGAAAUCCUGAUCAGGUUGGAGACAGUCCAACUAAGCUGUACACCCACUGUGAGCUCAUUGAGCCAUGUAGAUAAACUACAAAACCUUGUAACGUUCAGACCAACUGCUCUAGAGCAGGCCUUUGUCAUUUCCAACAUGCUUUCACAUUAAUCCCACUUUAACUGAAUGAAAAGGCAACUUCCAAGAACUCUGAAAGUCAUUUCAGUGGUUGGCUGGUAUAUCCUACGAGCUAGAGAUAAAAUUAACCUGAGGGAUACAGUGCUGGUGUUAAAAUAGAAGCAGGUUUUUGGCAGUGUUUACUGGUAUGUCCAGUUGACGUCACUGGAUGGCCACCAAAAUGCUCAACACCUUCUCAGUAUUAUUUCUUGAUCUAUGUAUCAAGAGAGGAAAAUAUAGCUAAAACUUGCUGCUAGAAAGCCUAUUUCUGUUGAAUAUGAUGUUAUCACGGAUUCAGCUGCAAGUCUAAGCAUGGUGAAUAAUAAGAGUUGUGAGCAACUCAGUGACUUCUUAUACUCUCCCCAGCAUGUCUGAUUAGUUUGUCUUUAAGUUGCAGCAGUAAAGAGCCUAUAAUAGUUAGGACUAUAAUAAUUACUAGAAUGCAACCCUCCUUAGAGAUGCCAUCUCAUUUAUAAUUCUCAGAGCAAGCCCCUUACAUGUUAUUGGUCAAUUAUGUAUUUUUCUUGUGAAGACUUUCCCUUGUGAUGUUAGUUUAAAGUUUUACUGUAUGCAAAUGUGUGGACACAUGUGGUGCAUUUAUUAUUUUAAAUCCCACUGGGAGUCCACUGAGUGUUUGCCUGCCCCUUCCUUCUUUUUUCACCUUUCUCUUCAUCUGUUGCAUAUUUUUUCCUUCCUCCGUCCAUUAUGUUUAUGCAUUCAGAGAAGAGUCUUCUGGGAAAAUAAUGGAAGGGAAAAGCUUGUGAUUUAUCAUUACACUGUAAUGGGUGCCCUGGUUCCGCUGAAGGAGGUCAGCCUCUCUUAGAGAUACCACAGUCCCUCCUUAUUAACAUUCUGUUCCCACUAAUGGCUUGGGGUAGGGCAGCCAGGUCUUAAAGGGAAGGCAUUUAAGAAGAGCACUUUGUUUAAUGGAAGCUGGGGGGUUUUAUGGGGACGCAUGGCGUCAAGCUCUCUUAUGAGAGUGACACAUUCACAGAUAAAGAACAUCUUUUCCCACCCUUGCAAAAAAACAACGGGCUUUAAAAAAGUGAAAAAUCCCCUUUGCCCUCUUCUAUUCAAUUCUCC
rnacentral:lncRNA from 1 species